AGAAGUUCAAGAGGCCAUUGUGUGAAGCUGUUAAAGGUCAUUGUGAGAAGCUGUGACAUUAAAGUCUGGGUUGCCCAGGAGAUGCCAGACUCAUGGCAUAUCUGUCAAGGAAAAGUACUAACUGGGAGUGGAACUAGCUCACAAGAAAGACAAGAGUUACAGUCAAUGAAGAUAAAAGGGGUUGGAUAUCUGAUGAACUCCUUGACAUCAGACAUGAACAUGGAAGGUUUGGAAGGUCUGUACUAGUCAGUUUAUUGAAUUCACUGAAAUGCUUCUAGUCUCAGGUUGAUGAGGAAAAAUGUGAACGCUAACUUGCCGCAGGCAGGCUACAUUAAAAGGGAGAGAAUAAGAGAGCCAGUAUUUUAAAAUGCAUCAGAGAUGCUUCAGUCAGCAAAAGGCCUGCAGUACAAUUAUGAAGACCUCAUUUUGGAAGCCAGAACCCAUGUAAAAAUAAGAAGCAUGAUCGAUCCUGUACAUCUAUAUCCCUAAAGAUGGGAGAUGCAAGGCUCUCAAAGUUUCUGGUUAGCAAGUAGGCAAUUGUUGAGGUGCAAAUUUAUUAAGAAACAGCGAUAUGGAGAGCAAAGAAGGGAUUUUUAGUAUACUGCACAUAUUGAAAUACAAGCACACAAAAUUACCUGUGGAGGAAGCAAUGGCAAUCUUAUGAAGGCAAGGAGCAUACUCAGGUCGCUGCAUCUCCGCUGCAUGUCAUACUUGACCCACAUCAUUAAUGCAUGGAAGAUGGUCUCUUCAUCAGGAACAUUUACAUCAUCACUGGCCAGUAGUUUAUGGAGCUCUUCAGCUGGAAGGAGUAAAAACUCUUGAUUUCUGAUUACUUCCAUUAUGUUUUCCUGUGGGGAGAAAAGAUCCUGGCAUAAAUUCUGCUUCACUUCUGUGUAGCUGGCAAAGCAUCUCAGAGAAAAAUGUGAAAAGCAGUCAAUAACCUUUGUUCUCAUUAUAACAUAAUCCUUGAGACUCAUCCUUCAGAAACAAGAAGCUGUUAAGAAGAAAGCAUUGUAAUUUUAAUUGAAGUGUAAAUGUGAGACAGCAGAGAUUUUAUAAUAACUGGAGGAUUAUAAUGCAUAGCUUUGUUAUGCAGAAUGUUCUGUGAUUAAAUGUUCAAGUUUCAAGUGUACUACUAUGUAAGAUUUAGCAAAUGUGUAAAGAAUAACACUUCAAACUUUCAAAGGUUCAACUACACAUACACAAAUCAGAAAAUGGCAAUACAUUACAAAGAGAAAUAGAAAACAAGAUAGCUUUGUUGUUUCUUUGGAAGGGGAAGAAAGACAGCUGAGAAGCCCAGGAAGCUACAUAGUCAUAGGAGCUCCACUCACCACUCCACUCACCACGUUCUCUUUUAAUUAUUUCCUCUUAUGACAAUUUCUUUGAAUUAAAUGGUUGCUGUUGUUGUUGCUUAUGUUUUUAAAUUAUUAUUUAUAAUAAUAUUUAUUCUCUAUUUUAUUCAAGUCACAAAUAUAUUAAGACUCAUAAACAUAUAGCCAUAUGUGGCCUUGGAGUUAAUAUAGUCAUUUCAAAGGACCAUCCUUAAAUAAUAGCAUACACCAGGGGAGGAUGAAUAAAUGAGUUUGGAGGUUCUACUUCGAGCUCUUCCCUCAGUAAUACAAAAGGGCCUUGUAUGCUUUGUUUUAAAUAGCGUCUUGGCAAUUAUAUUAAAAUCCAAACAAUAAAAGAAAUUAAAGAAAUGACUUAUACAGGUUAAACAGAACAUUUGAAGCUUACCAAGUUGAAUUUUCCUUUAUUGUUUGAGCAACCGUAAAAGAUAAUAAUGUGUUUUGAUCUGUUCUCCAUUAUUGAAGAAUAGAUAACCUUUCAAUAUCCCCAUCCCUGGAGAAAAAUUGACUUUCCAGGUACCAUUAACCAUUAAGUUUGGCUUAAUUUUGAUUCCUAUUUACAUUCAUUCAGCUUGUGUUUUCUCCCAAUUGAUCUCCCUGUAUCUCCCUGAUUUCCCUGUACUCUGAGCUUCUUAGUUAAAUCUCCCAUAAUAAAGUCAACACGGUUUUAAAUGAG